rnacentral:rRNA from 1 species
UACGUAGGGCGCAAGCGUGUCCGGAAUUAUUGGGCGUAAAGAGCUCGUAGGCGGUUUGUCGCGUCGGCUGUGAAAUCCCGAGGCUCAACCUCGGGCCUGCAGUCGAUACGGGCAAACUAGAGUGUGGUAGGGGAGACUGGAAUUCCUAGUGUAGCGGUGAAAUGCGUAGAUAUUAGGAGGAACACCAGUGGCGAAGGCGGCUCACUGGACGAUAACUGACGUUGAGGCUCGAAAGCGUGGGGAGCAAACAGG